GUGCUCGCUUCAGCAGCACAUAUACUAAAAUUGGAACGAUAGAGAGAAGAUUAGCAUGGUCCCUACGCAAGGAUAAAAUGUAAAUAAUAGAAAAGGUGCCACUUUUU